UUUAUAUAUGUAUAGAGAGCUCAGAGAGGAGAAUUUUGUUGCUGCUUCCUCUUUCUCUCUAGUUUUGGACGUAGUUCGUGGUGGAGGUCGCGGCUCGAGCUCGGGUGAAUUUUGACGUUGCUCCGGAGGGCCGUUCGAGUGCGUGGGCAUCGCGGUUGCGCCGUUGGAGGCCGGGCGAGCGCGUGGAUUCCCUCCUUUCGACUUCUCACCGUUGUUGGACGAGCUUUUCGAGGUGGGUUGAUGUUUAUUGAAAUCGUCAGAUUUCCUCCUAAGUCGGGAUUUUUAUCAGCAUGUAUGUUUUUGUGUAGUAUCCAGUUUGGAAGCUCAGUUCAUCGAUUUGCAUAGCUUUUAUGGAAUCUGAGUUUGGAGUCUUAAAUUCUAGAAUUGUUUUACAUGUUGGACUUAAAAUUGACUUAGGAGAAAACCAGUAAACCCUACACUAUCAUUUUCUGAAAAGUUACCAGAUUUAGCUCUAGGAGCUGUUUUUAUUCUGUAUCACCGCUGUUAGUGCGAGGUAGAUACCUAGAUUAGUGUAGGUUGAGGUUACGCUCGUGCUGGGAUGCCGAGUUCGUUGUACAAUAGUGUGUAGAUUGUUUGGUACUGUUGGGUGCUGUCGCGGUUGAUGGUGGACCCAGAUUUCUGUAUCUUGCAUCAGAUUGUGCCAAGGGAACGUGAUCUUUGGUUGUUAGACUAGUUUGACCCAUUUGCAUUGACUACAGCCUGUGAGAGCCUGAUUGAGCUCGGCAGAGA
rnacentral:lncRNA from 1 species